UCACUGUGUGUUGCACACCUGAUAAUUUUACCAUGACCAAGCUUUAAGAGUUCAGUACCACACAAACACUGCCUCGAGAGUCCAUCCGUUGCUUUCAGUUCAACUGAAUUGGGAUUCCUUAAUAUUUUUCUAGUCCGCUAACUAACAAGCUUAUUCUGGUGUUUAGCUUAGGAGAUGGGCAAGAAUGACUGGGGCUUCAGGCCCAGCUGUAGGUGUCCGAGGCUCAAUGACCAAACUCUGGGACUUCUCCUCUAGCUUUGGACAGAAACUGGUGACUCAGGAAUGGGAAUCUUGGAGAGGGGGUGUAUUUGAGAGAACAAGCAUUACACAGGGCUAAUCUCUUUUCUUUUCUUACAGGGUUGGAAGAACAUCGUUCUCAGACCCUGAGAAAUCUGGACUCUUUUAGCAGUGUGCUACCUAAAGGAAUAUAAGGAGUUGCUACUUGCAGCUUCCUUGCAAUUAAUUUUUUGGUACUUGUACCUCUCUUUCUGUGGUUUUAGAUCAAGAAACGCCAUGAGCACAACUCAACGAAAGCGCCGUGGAAGAGCAGUUAAUUCUAGGCAAGCUCGGAAACGAAACAGGUUGAUGGCUUCAACCACAGGAACGGCUUCAGAAGCAGAGCCAGCAGAACUUGAAGAAAGUGGUAAGCUUUCUUUUCAACUUGGUAAGAACACAAAUUGCUUCUGGAGGGUUGGGGUCCCACUUAACGUGUGGGUUUUUUUCCUGUUUCUAGGCCCUUUACUGCGGAGGAAGGGAAAGCUCUUCUUUUAAAAAGCAUCUAGUAUGGCACUUGUAAACAACAAGCCUACUGAGAGCUGUUGUAGUUUGUUACUGAGAUGCGAUACAUUCAGCACUGGUGAUACAUGAGUUGUGUGGGAAAGGUACUCGAGUGCAGGUCAAACAUGCGAGUGUCUAGUCUGACGAGCUGCGAGUCACUGCAGCUGCCGCUAGAGACAGUGGCAAACUAAGUUUGGGAACUCCCAAGUUUUAAGAAGAUAACGAGAAGUUUGUUGUUAGUUGUGCCUUGUCCCUCAAGGGAGAGGCAGUACUUGGUCAGUCCUUUUUUGGAAAAAGUACCGGAACUUCAAAAGCCUCCUUGACCUCCUAAAUAGAGAUUUAAAUUGCCACCUGAAAUCCUAGGAAAGAUUAGAAGUAAUUGUUGGCCUCCAGGCAAUUAUAGGUCUUUUCCAGUUUUUGCUGUGCAUUUGACUAUGAAAGGUUGGAAGAGACAUGAGACAGGAACAUUUACAGCAAGGUGCUGUAAAAUUAUUAUAUCCUACAUGUGUUUUAUUCUGUGUGAUAAACGUUCUCCAAUGUUAGGUGAGUAAUCUGUUGCUGUGUACCUCCUGCAAGCUGUUGUCAUACAACAGAACUGUAUGAGGAGCUGAGCCGCUGUUCCUCUUGCAUUGCAGCUUGCAGAAGGCAGCGUGGUAAUGCCCUGUGUGGACUCCUGAGGGCAAAGCUUGAGUGAAAUGUUGGCUAUGUUGCUGCAGAGGAGAGGGAUAGGGCAAGGUUGAAUCAUACCUCAGCCUCUUACAUAUAGUGGCAGGCAAUUUUACUCCUCUUCCAUCUCUGAUCUUGUCUCUAAUGUUCUGUUUUUAAGCUGGUGAGGAAGUAGUAGAUCUCACAUGUGAAUCUUCUGAUCCUGUAGUCGUUGAUCCAACUCACAAUGAUUCUGUUGUGACGUGGUGAUAAACGCAUUUCAAGUAUGACAUUCUCUAAGGAUGUAGACCCCUCGUUCACUAAGUGUUAGUCUAAGGAUCAGAGGAAGUCUGGUAUACUCGUCAUGGCGCAGUCGUGAAUGUCGAUGAAGAAUCCUGCGGAGAAGUACGAAGCUUGAGGAAUCUGGAAGGCCGAAUGCUAAGGCAUGGAAGAAUUCUGUUGAAAUGCGUAUUUGACCUCUAUUUGAAGACGCGUACAGUAAAAGGCAGCGGAUGUCAUGAAUGCAGAAGUAAAACUUAAUCCUUACAAGGUUUGGGUUUGGGUCAUAGUUUACCGAGGCCUUAGGUAUUCAAAAAGUCAUCGUCUGGGCUUGUCUUCUGGCAUCUCAGUAAGUAGCCUGACUUAAAGGGUUAAAACGCGGCUUUGAUUUGCCACUUUAGACAGAGUUCCCGUUCAACCCCAAAUGGGCCUAUGAAUGCGUCAACAUCUAGGAGUAUCACUUCCCGAUAGUGGCAGAGUAAUCUAAAAUAGCUUGCUGCUCCAGAACUUGGGGAGAAUACAUACCAGUGAUGGCUACUGUAACAUAAGGAGAUGCACUUUCAAGCUGAAGCUAUGAUAGCUGUAUCAAAGAUACAGGCGAAUGACUUAAAUAAAAAGCAAAGGAGGUAACAGUUAGUCUGUGACUUCAGAAAUAUGAAGUGUUUAGCUGCAAUGUCAGUUGAAGGUACUCCUGUCGGAGAGAUGCCAAGCGCAACUGUAGCUGGCCGUGGUACAAACUAGUUCUGGUUUUGGCUGGGAUAGAGUUAAUUUUCUUUCUAGUAGCUGGUAUAGUGCUAUGUUUUGGGUUCACUGUGAGAAGAAUGUUGAUAACACACUGACGUUUUCAGUUGUUGCUAAGUAGUGUUUAGACUAAUGUCAGGGAUUUUUCAGCUUCUGAUGCCCAGCCAGCGAGAAGGCUGGAGGGGCACAAGAAGUUGGGAGGGGACACAGCCAGGGCAGCUGACCCCAGCUGGCCAAAGGGGUAUUCCAUACCAUGUGACAUCAUGCCCAGUAUAUAAACUGGGGGGAGUGGGGCUGGGAGGGAUUGCUGCUUGGGAACUAACUGGUCAUCGGUUGGUGGGUGGUGAGCAAUUGCACUGUGCGUCACCUGUAUAUUCUAAUCCUUUUAGUAUUGCUAUUGUCAUUUUAUUAGUGUUAUCGUUACUAGUUUCUUCCUUUCUGUUCUAUUCAACUGUUCUUAUCCCACGAGUUUUACUUUUUUUUUUUCCGCCCGUUCUCUCCCCCAUCCCACUGGGUUGAGUGGGAGUGAGUGAGCGAGCGGCUGUGUGGUGCUUAGUUGCUGGCUGGGGUUAAACCACAAGUUUAUUACUCCAAGAAGUCUUUAAAAAACCUGCUUUUUUUUACUGCUAUUUUUAAAGCUGGAAUAGUAUUCGAUCCAGUCCACAGUGUAGUUUAUAACCUCAGUUCUGGGAUGCCACUGCUGCCGUGCAAACCUGAAACAAGCGGCAGGAAUAGCACGGGAGUAUCUCCUGCUGGGAUUGUUCCUGAGCCCUUUGCAAGGGAACGGCCUCAAACUUUGCAACAUCGUCCGCAUUGCCCCAGCUCUAGUUCCAGCAAAGACAAUAGUGGGUUUGGGUUGGGGAUUUUUUUCUCCAGCAGCUGUUAAUCUAAUAUGAAGUGUUAAUGGCUAUCACACCUGAACUGGCCUGUUUGGGGGAGGGAGAGGGAAAGAAUGUCCUCCAGCCUAAAUCGCAUUAGGGUCCUGAAACUGGGGAGCAGGGAGAAGGGUGUUCAGGUGGUUCGUAGGCUGCCUCCAUUUCUAUCCCUUUGCAGCAGUGUGAGCAGAACCAGAAGCAACCCCUUCCUUAUUUUCAGAGCAGCAGCUAAUUUACUACUACUUCGAACAUUCUUCAUCAAAAUAAGAGAGUGAUAUCCCACCCUUCUUAGCUUGUUUCGUUGUAAUUGCUUAGCUUGUCUGGUGUUUGUAUGUAACGCUAGAGGUGCACGCCAAAGUCUAAUUGUAUUUUCUUUUCUCUCCCUUCCCACAUAUGUUGAUGCAAGAUUGUUGAAGGUAAGUUGACGUUUUACAAUUUGUAAUGUAAUUGGCCUAAACUUAAAUUUUAUUUUUGUCUUUUCCAAAGAACCUGGGCAGCAUGGAUUGAAACUGCAUUUACCAAAAGACAAAGCACAGUGCUAAAGUAUCUGGCUGGCCAGCGUCUCGGAGAACGGAUCCAAUCUGUGUUUGAUGGUCACUGUCGGAGCUUGUAGAAAGUAUCUGAAAUAGAAUAGAUCAAAGCUGCUCAAAAUAUGUUUUCUUAUUUUCCAAAUUCAGAAUUUCUGUAAGCCCAAAGUUGAUGAUAAUUUUAAUUAGCACUGGAAUACCUGCUUUGAAUAAGAAAAUGUUGAAAGGCUUUUUUAGCCUGUAUUGCAGUGAAGUAACUAAAGGCAAAGUUACAGACUGUUUAUAAUCACGCAUUUCAAGGAUAGUUCCAGGGCUAUAUACUUUAUAAUCUAGCUAACUCACCAAAUUUAACUUACAGAGAAUCAACGAGAAAGGAGAGAUCGCAGACUAAGAGGCCAGCCAAGGUUCCAUAUCUGUGUCCUGAUUAGCGAUGAUGAAGAUGAACCCAGAGACGAUGAUGUGUAUGUGAAAGAUAAAGUGUCUUUCUAAAAUCUAAUUUUUGAUAUACAGUAGAAACCGAUUUCUUCCAAGCUUCUGGGUUCUCUUUGAUUACUAUGCAAAAACUUCAGACCUAAAAUAGAAUUGCAUUUCUAGAAGAGAACCCCCCAAAACCCCAAACAAACUUUUGUUCAGUUGUUUGUGAAAUCCUUAUCUAAUGUAUCUUA